GCUCAAAUUUAAAAUCUGGCAGCUUCAUCGCUGUCCGAGUUGUAAUUUAGAGAAGCAAUGCCUGCGCUGGACCGUGUACAAGUCUCCUGGAACGGUGCGUCAUAGAGGGUGAGAAUCCCGUCUUUGACACGGACUACCAGUGCGCUGUGGUAUGCUCUCGAAGAGUCGUGUUGUUUGGGAAUGCAGCACUAAACGGGUGGUAAAUUCCAUCUAAAGCUAAAUAUUGGCGAGAGACCGAUAGCGAACAAGUACCGUGAGGGAAAGAUGAAAAGAACUUUGGAAAGAGAGUUAAACAGUACGUGAAAUUGUUGAAAGGGAAACGCUUGAAGUCAGUCGCAUUGGUUGGGAAUCAGUCUUGCUCCUCGCUCGAUGUACUUUCCAGUCAAUGGGUCAGCAUCAGUUUCGACCGCUGGACAAAGGCUGAGGGAAUGUGGCACCUUCGGGUGUGUUAUAGCCCUCGGUCGUAUGCGGUGGUCGGGACUGAGGGGGAUCUUCAGGCCGCGAGGCCUAG
rnacentral:rRNA from 1 species